GAACAGUUUUGAUUUUCACAUGCAUUCUCUAACAUGGUAAGUCAUAGUCAAAACGUACACACACAUUCAAAGUAAAGUAACAGAUUGGGAGGAAAGCUUUUCUAUUAACCAUUGAUAAAUAUCUGAGUUUCACACUGUUGAAUCAAAUCAUUAAAAUCAUUACCAACAUCACAACAAAAAAGCCGCAGCAACUGACACCAUCUUCCUGACAUAAACAUCUCAACAAGUUUGACAGUUAUGGUUGCUACAAUGUUGUUGCAUGUGAUGUACUGAUUAAACUAGAGCUGUUGUUGUUGAUGAUCAUUAUCAUCAAAAGGAUCAUGCUGAUUAAGUGUAUUAAAAUGAAAGUUAUGAUCUUUUUUGAUUUUUAAAAUGAAAAAAGAUCAUUCUUGCAUUUAAACCAUCCUUUUGACGGGUGGUGAUUUUUAUGGUUAAAAGUGGUUGUGGUGAGAGAUGAGGUUCGUUUAAAUUAAUAUUGUGCUCAAUUUUGGUAUAAAAAGGAAUGCACUUAAUGCAAUAAUAAUGCUGAUAAUUAUGAUAAAACACAGUAAAAAAUGAGUGAAACUAAAUCAAAAUGAAAACAGUUCAUUGCAAUAGAGAACCAGCCUACACCUACUUACUUUACCUUGAACAAUUUAAUAAAUUAUGUUGGUUAAACGUAGGUAGCCGUUGAAUUUCAUUUUCAUUAUUUGUAAAUAGCGUUUACUAUUAAAAAAAUGAAACACAAUUCAAGUGAAUGUUGCUUUUAAUUUAGAGGAAAAAUGGAAAAAUGGUUACUGCCAUCUAACGAGCACCAAUGGAACAAGAGGUCAAAGGAAAGCAAUCUAAUUUCUGAUCAUGGAGUGGAAUUUACUUUCAAAAAAGUUUACCUGAGCUGAUUUCGAUGAGGAUGAUAUGGAUGCCAAUGAAGAGUAAAUUAAAAAUGAAUACUUGAGUCCUUUGUCAUUAUCACUCAAUGGUUCACAAACAUCAUAAUAAUCCAAAUUGAUUUGACCACAAUAUUUUCUUAUCCAAACUUAGGCCCA